GUAAAGCAAGCAAGUAGUCUCAGGCAGGAGGCUGUCUGCACUUUGAACAGUCCAAGGCAAGGAGUCAUGCAGGGUGGAGCACCUGCAGAUAUGGGACCUCGUGGCCUGGGCUUGCACAUCCAUGAGCAGAGACACGGGACACGCUGCCUUCCCGGAGAUGGAGUGGAGAAGCAGGAAGAGUCGCUUGGGAAGGUGCCCGAUCUUGCACAGAGAGAGUCAGGGUGGUUGCUACCAGAGACUUGCCUGCAUCUAUUAGGAUUUACACGCUUUCUGGCCACCACAGGGACUACCUCGGCCUAUUCAGCUUCUCACCAGCACCCUCGAGCUGCGCAGCCUUCGGGCUUGCAACACACAGCCCUCCUCAGGAGCCAGGAGCUGUCUCCCUUGGCCUGGGGCUCUCUGCCAGCACACCACCAGCGAGGAGAGCACCGGAGGCUCCCACCCUCAGCUUGUGGAAGCCGCACGUCAUGUUUGUGAGCGCCAGCUGGGUGGAUAUGCCACCACAGCACAGGCAGAAAGGUCUCCCUGGGAAAGAGUGGGAGGGAACAAGCUGUUUCAACUUUCUUCUCCUUCCAGCUUGGCAGGGUGUGGGAAUGGCACAGAGUGUCUCCUCUGGGUUCAAGAAAAUGACAGUUUGCUCAGGAGAUGGUUCACACUUGGCUGGGCAACUUGAGGAGCUUCCUGUGCUGGCCUCCACCCUAGGAGCAGGACUUCACCUGCAGACGGGGAGCAGCUCCAUCUGCGUGAUAUGUGAGUGAAAAUUAAGCACUUUCUUCCCUGUAAAACACAGCAGCAAGAUGUCCCGACUCUGUGGACUGCGUUGUUGUGUACAAGUAGAAACAAUGGGGGAGAGCACAGUCAGAGGGAUUUUUCCUACCUAAAAACUGACGCAGGAAAAACAAA